rnacentral:rRNA from 1 species
GCCUUGUGUGUCAACGCCAGUUCGCGAUCGAGGAAAACUCCAGGGUCAUGGUAGCUCGUCUACGGGUGAGUGAAUAGCCUUGGCAGAACUCAUUUGCGGACUGUUUCUUUCGUGUCUGGUUGCAGUGUCCUUGGCAUUCUGGAAGCUCGUCUUGGCUUGCCACUGGCGGGGGACCUGGGUGACUUGGGCAUUUCCCUGACACAAAGACGAUGACUAAAUGGUUCUAUUCGACCCGUCUUGAAACACGGACCAAGGAGUCUAACAUAUGUGCGAGUCCACGGGUGGUAAACCUGCUGGCGCAGUGAAAGCGACUGCUGGGAUCUUUGCACCAGCAACCGACCAAUCAAUUGAGAGAGGUUUGAGUAUGAGCAUAUCUGUUAGGACCCGAAAGAUGGUGAACUAUGCCUGAGAAGGGCAAACUCAGGGGAAACU